ensembl:snoRNA
CUCGUUCUGUGAUGAUCCCAUGGAAUAACAAAACCCGACAGUAAUGAGGAUCUGUUCCAUGUUGCCUUCCUUCUGAGAACGUC